GCCAAUUCGCUGGAUUCAAAAGAGAAAGGCUUUUUAAGAGAACGAGAGUAAAAGAUAUCAUAUGGAUAUAUCACACAAGUAUCAAGUACACUUGCUAGGUUUACUUGCAGUUGAACGAGUAGAUUCGAUUUUUAGAGCCAGG